rnacentral:sRNA from 1 species
AUAAGCCCAGUGAAGGUCCCAGUGUGGCUGGUGGGGUUGCUCUGGUGUGGGACUUAGGGUUGGAGGUCAUGUCAGGCCCCCUUAUUGGCCUCCGCAUCUUCUCUUUGCCUGCCCCAGUUGUGACACCGGCUAUCAGCAUGGGAACCUCUUCAUGUCCUUCCGAAGCUUCUUCCAGGAUGUGACUGAUGCCAUGAAUAAUGUCCACCAGUCGGGCUGUCUCAAGGAGAAGAUCCUGGAGGACUUGGAGAAAUAUGUGGAGAAGGAUCCACGCCUCCCCAUCCUGCUGGGGAAGAUGAAGGAGGUUGGGAAAGUGUUUCUGGCCACCAACAGCAGCUACAACUACACCAAUGCUAUCACGACCUACCUGUUCAGCAUCAGUGAGGUGAGUGUUGGAGUGUUGCGUGCACGGCUGGGGAGGGCUGUGCAAAGGGCUAGGGUACCAGGCUGCACCACGAUGCUGAGGGCCUCUCCCACGUCCAGCCUCCCUUUGAGGAAGACCCGAGUGUGUGAGUGGUCAUUUCUCAUGAGUGGAAGCUCCCCAGUGGGUAGGAUGCUGGGGACCUCAGCCAGGCCCUGGGAGGAGCCUUUGGGGGUGAUAGGAGGCAGUCAGGUAUGUGGGGAGGGGCAGCAGAAAGUGGGUGAGACGAGGGCAUGGCAUGUCAAAGGGAAGGGUGCUGGGAGUGACAGGUCCUGGGCACUGGGAGUGACCAGGUGUCACUGGGCAGGCAGCAGGGCCCUAACUUGAUAGCCGUGCUGGUGCCACCUGUCCCCGGGUCUCUGUGCUGUGAGGAGCUCGGGAGGCUGGCCUGAGGCUGCACAUGAUGAUCGACACCCACCUCCACAAGUUCCUUUUGAGCACUUCCUAGUGCCCAGCUUGGCUGGGGAAGCUGGGCAGCGAGACCUGGUUCCCAGGGGCUGAAGAGGUCUCAUCCAGCUGGGAGGUUGGUGGGGAGAGGCAGGCUGUGGUGGGUGACCGGCUGUGGCAAGGUCAGAUUUACCAGGCUGUGUGUGUGCGGCCCGUGUGCACCCCCAACAGGCUGAAGCCUCGGGCAGGCCCUGGAGGUCCUACUUCAAUCUGAUUGUGGUGGACAUGCAGAAACACCGCUUCUUUGCAGAGGGGGUGGUCCUGAGGCAGGUCAACACGGUAAUGGCAGGUGCAGAGGUCAGUCCACCUGCACCCAUGGACCACGGUUGGGGAGGGCAGCCUGCCUGCCCCUUAGACUUGACCUGCCUUUAUGGCUGGCAGCUCUGCUGGCCUGUCUGUCCCUGGAGGCAGGGAACCUGAGGCCACCUUCAGCGCCCUCUGCUGCCUCCUUCCUCCCACAUCCCCAUGGUUACCUCUGCCACUCCCAGCUCCCUGCGACCCUCCCUAGCUAGAGACCAAAGAUGUGGUUCUCCUGGCUCCAGGGCACCCCUCUGCCCCUCCAGGACUCAGGAAAGCUCCACGUGGGCACCUACACAGGGCCCCACCAGCACUGUGCUGUCUACUCUGGAGGCUCUUCGGACAUGGUGUGCGAGCUGCUUGGGGUUCGGGGGAAGGACAUCCUGCACAUUGGGGACCACAUUUUUGGGGACAUUCUCAAGUCCAAGAAGCAGCAGGGCUGGCGGACUUGCCUGGUGGUUCCUGAGCUGUCCUGGGAGCUGGACAUCUGGGCCCGGGAGAAGGAGUGGUUGGAGGAGCUGAAGAGGCUGGACACGCACCUGGCAGACCUAUGCCAGCACAUGGAUGGGAGCUGUUGUAAGCUGCGAGUCAUCAGCUUCACAAAGAGAGAGAUCCAGAUGCCACGAGUCAGUUGUGGAGCAAGAACAGGCCAGUCUGGACCCUGCCUCCUGCCUCCUCUCCUGCAGCCAGAGGGGUGAGGGGCAAAGAGAGAAACGAGGACCAGGAAAGUUACAUUGAGGCUGACGGAGUUCCGGACACGGGCUGGCAUCACGGGUCAUCUUCUACUUGAGAUAUUUUUCAGAUAACAGGAAAAAGCAACUGUAUUGAAAUCUCCUAAAUGUAGCAGAUUCGGAGCCUGCAAACACUUAUUUUAGGGAGGAGGCAGUAUUGCUCUUAACCUAGAAGGCAUCCCCAAUGGUCUUUGAGACGUUUGGAAACCUGUGCACAAGUGAAAUUAUUUUACCUACUUCUCUUGAACGCAUGAUGUCUCAUAUCCAAUUUUAUUUCUAAACAUGUCUUUUAAAAAAUAGUUAUUUCUGUGCACUUCUGAUUCUGUUACUAGUAAGAACAAUAAAACCUGAUUGGCUAUGUAUUGCCUCACUAACUGCUCUUUCAUUCUGGGUCACUAUGAAAGAUGUUAAAUGAGAUAGCCCAAAUGUCUUUGAGUUUGUGUAUACACAUUAAAACACAUAAAAAGUCAUACUCAUGAUUUUAAAACUUGACUCUCGAAUGUGUUAGUAGCUUCUCUGUGGUAUUAAAGCGCUGAAGCAUC